rnacentral:rRNA from 1 species
AACGAACGCUGGCGGCGUGCCUAACACAUGCAAGUCGUACGAGAAAGGGUCCUUCGGGGCCUGAGUAAAGUGGCGCACGGGUGAGUAACGCGUGGAUAAUCUGCCCUUCAGUUGGGAAUAACUCAUCGAAAGGUGGGCUAAUACCGAAUAAUGCUGUGAGACCUCGGUUGAUCAGCCAAAGAGAGCCUCUGCUUGCAAUCCCUCCCUGAAGGAUGAGUCCGCGUACCAUUAGCUAGUUGGUAGGGUAAUGGCCUACCAAGGCGACGAUGGUUAGCUGGUCUGAGAGGAUGAUCAGCCACACUGGAACUGAGACACGGUCCAGACUCCUACGGGAGGCAGCAGUGAGGAAUCUUGCGCAAUGGGGGCAACCCUGACGCGGCAACGCCGCGUGAGUGAGGAAGGUCUUCGGAUCGUAAAGCUCUGUCGGAUGGAAAGAACCGCAUAGGGGUAAACGGCCCCUGUGUCUGACGGUACCAUCAAAGGAAGCACCGGCUAACUCCGUGCCAGCCGCCGCCGUAACAC